rnacentral:rRNA from 1 species
ACUCAAAGGAAUUGACGGGGGCCCGCACAAGCAGCGGAGCGUGUGGUUUAAUUCGAUGCAACGCGCAGAACCUUACCUGGGCUUGACAUGCGCGGGACCGGGGCGGAAACGCCCCCUUCCUUCGGGACCCGCGCGCAGGUGCUGCAUGGCUGUCGUCAGCUCGUGCCGUGAGGUGUUGGGUUAAGUCCCGCAACGAGCGCAACCCCCGCCGGCAGUUGCUACUUUCUGCCGGGACUGCCGGGCCAAACCCGGAGGAAGGUGGGGAUGACGUCAAGUCAGCACGGCCCUGACGUCCAGGGCGACACACACGCUACAAUGGCCGGUCCAGAGGGCAGCCAAGGCGCGAGCCGGAGCGAAUCCCCGAAAGCCGGCCUCAGUGCGGAUGGCAGGCUGCAACUCGCCUGCCUGAAGGCGGAGUUGCUAGUAACCGCCGGUCAGCACACGGCGGUGAAUACGUUCCCGGGCCUUGCACACACCGCCCGU